UACGUAGGGUGCAAGCGUUAAUCGGAAUUACUGGGCGUAAAGCGUGCGCAGGCGGUUUUGUAAGUCUGACGUGAAAUCCCCGGGCUCAACCUGGGAAUUGCGUUGGAGACUGCAAGGCUAGAAUCUGGCAGAGGGGGGUAGAAUUCCACGUGUAGCAGUGCAAUGCGUAGAGAUGUGGAGGAACACCGAUGGCGAAGGCAGCCCCCUGGGUCAAGAUUGACGCUCAUGCACGAAAGCGUGGGGAGCAAACAGG
rnacentral:rRNA from 1 species